GGGCCCGCACAAGCGGAGGAGCAUGUGGUUUAAUUCGAUGAUACGCGAGGAACCUUACCUGGGCUUAAAUGGGAGACGACCGCUGCCGAAAGGUGGCUUCCCUUCGGGGCGUCUUUCAAGGUGCUGCAUGGCUGUCGUCAGCUCGUGCCGUGAGGUGUCGGGUUAAGUCCCAUAACGAGCGCAACCCCUAUCAUUAGUUGCCAACAGGUAAUGCUGGGAACUCUAAUGAAACUGCCUACGCAAGUAGUGAGGAAGGCGGGGAUGACGUCAAGUCAGCACGGCCCUUACGUCCAGGGCUACACACGUGCUACAAUGGCUGGUACAGAGGGCAGCUACCUGGUGACAGGAUGCUAAUCUCAAAAACCGGUCUCAGUUCGGAUCGAAGUCUGCAACUCGACUUCGUGAAGUUGGAUUCGCUAGUAAUCGCGCAUCAGCAAUGGCGCGGUGAAUACGUUCCCGGGCCUU
rnacentral:rRNA from 1 species